rnacentral:rRNA from 1 species
AGCAGCCGCGGUAAUUCCAGCUCCAAUAGCGUAUAUUAAAGUUGUUGCAGUUAAAAAGCUCGUAGUUGAAUUUCGGGGUCAGUAGGCUGGUCGUGCCACGGGUAUGCACUGGUCUCACUGAUUCCUCCUUCCUGAUGAACCGUAAUGCCAUUAAUUUGGUGUUGCGGGGAAACUGGACUGUUACUUUGAAAAAUUAGAGUGUUUAAAGCAGGCUAACGCUUGAAUACAUUAGCAUGGAAUAAUGAAAUAGGACGAUCGAUCCUAUUUUGUUGGUUUCUAGGAUUGACGUAAUGAUUAAUAGGGAUAGGUUGGGCAUUAGUAUUCAAUUGUCAGAGGUGAAA